AUCCUUUGCGGUUCGUAAGCAUGAGUAGGUUUUCACACCGUUAUGUGAGAUGUGCCUCUCUCAAACCUGUUUACAAUAUGCACUGUAUCUGUCUGAUG
rnacentral:snoRNA from 1 species